UUUUGAUCUGUGACCUGAAGAAAACUGACAGUGGAAAAUAUUCAUUCAGAUUUCAUGGAAUAAAUAAACAAUGGGUGACAAAUCCUGAGACCAAGCUGACGGUUGUGGAAAAUCCUUGCCCGAUCACAUUUAAAGGUCCACAAGUCGUGAAGGAGAAUGAGAUGGUAACGCUGACAUGCUCCACGCUAAGUUCAUGUCCUUCAUACCCACAAAUUGACCCCUUUUGCACGAUGGCCCGUAACACAACUCUCAUGGUCUCUCAACACCGAGUCGCCUAAAAGCAUCACAAGGAGUUUCCGUGCCAGCUGGAAGGAUGACGGGAUUGGGUUUUCCUGCCAGCCAGCAGAUAAAAAGAACAAAUACUUGAUCAGGAAUAUCAACCUGGCUGUCGAAUAUGCUCCUAAAGAAACGGAGGCUAGGAUAAGCUCUGACCAUGUGAGGAAAGGACACUUUGUGACUCUCACCUGCUCUGCCAAAGGACGACCAUCCGUCAGCUUUAGUUGGUUCAAAAAUGA